rnacentral:rRNA from 1 species
CCUACGUGAGGCAGCAGUGGGGAAUAUUGCGCAAUGGGCGAAAGCCUGACGCAGCGACGCCGCGUGAGGGAUGAAGGUCUUCGGAUCGUAAACCUCUGUCAGCAGGGAAGAACGGUCACUGUGCUAAUCAGCAGUGAAUUGACGGUACCUGCAAAGGAAGCACCGGCUAACUCCGUGCCAGCAGCCGCGGUAAUACGGAGGGUGCGAGCGUUAAUCGGAAUUACUGGGCGUAAAGCGCUCGUAGGCGGUAUGUCAAGUCACGGGUGAAAUCCCCGCGCUGAACGUGGGAACUGCCUUUGAAACUGGCAAACUGGAGUGUGUGAGAGGAUAGUGGAAUUCCAGGUGUAGGAGUGAAAUCCGUAGAUAUCUGGAGGAACAUCAGUGGCGAAGGCGACUAUCUGGCACAUAACUGACGCUGAGGAGCGAAAGCGUGGGUAGCAAACAGGAUUAGAGACCCCGGUAGUC